rnacentral:misc_RNA from 1 species
GUGCAUUAUGAUUGUGAAAAUUUUUAAAUUUUUACUUACCAAUGAAUGAUUAUAUUUUUUGUGACUUUUAAAAAAAUUAUUUAUUGUUGUGCACCACUCAGUAAAUUACUCAGCGAUGGCUUUUUCUUACUGUCGCAGAUAAGGAGAAAGAUAAGGCAGCUGAGUGAGCUACUUAUAGCUGCAGUUGAAGAAAUUUUGGAAUCUUUUUUUUUUGGUAUAAUAUUUGUACUCUUGUAAAUUUCUUUUUGAUGUAAUUUAUUUGUUCAUAUGUAUCUAUAGAACCAAAUGAGCAGUUGUACAAUAAAAUUUGUAAUAAAGUUAUUUUCUCUCUUUUCCUUGAAUUGAAAAUUUUAUAUAUGAAUUGCACUAAAUUAAAUGAUAUUGAGAUUGCUAGAAAUUGUGUUGGUUGAGAUUGAAUUGUGUUGAUUUUAUUGGAGUUGCGGACAUUACGU